CUUUUAGUAUUAAGCUGCCGGGGCUAUGGCUCCUGUGGCCUCUGGGCGAGUUAGGCGUCGAGUUCGAGGCUCCAAGCGGCCCGAUGCGCGGGGCCGCUCGGCCGAGGACUGGUGGUGGGACCGGCUGGCACCUCGCGGCUCUGGGUACCACCUGCUGCAAGCAGACAGCAUGCUGCUCGUGCUGCCGGACCUGGAGCCUGCCCGCGCUCGAGCGCACAGGCGCGCCCCUCGCCGCGCUCCCAAGUCACUGGCUCGUGGUCCCACGGCUGUCGCCAAGCCCAGGACCAAACCCCGACCGGAGCCGUCACUCGAUCAGGGCCUGGACUCCGGCUGGGGAGACCGUAUUCCCUUAGAAAUCCUGGUGCAUAUUUUCGGGCUGUUGGUGGCGGCUCAUGGGCCCAUGCCGUUUCUUGGCAGGGCUGCACGCGUUUGCCGUCAUUGGCAUGAAGCCACCUCCCACCCUUCACUCUGGCAUACUGUGACCCUGUCACCCCCGCUGGUUGGCCGGGCUGGCAAGGGCAACCUUAAGGGAGAGAAGAAACUCCUUGCUUGCCUGGAGUGGCUCAUACCCAAUCGGUUUUCACAACUCCAGAGGUUGACCCUCAUCCACUGGAAGUCUCAAGUACACUCUGUGUUGGAGCUGGUUAGCAAGUUCUGCCCUCGGCUCACCUUCCUCAAGCUUUCAGACUGCCACAGUGUGACUGCUGAAACUCUGGUCAUGUUAGCAAAAGCCUGCUGCCAGCUCCACAGCCUGGACCUACAUCAUUCCAUGGUGGAGUCCACAGCUGUGGUAAGCUUCUUAGAGGAGGCAGGGUCCCGAAUGCGAAAACUGUGGCUGACCUACAGUUCCCAGACAACGGCCAUCUUGGGUGCACUGCUGGGCAACUGCUGCCCCCAGCUCGAAGUCCUCCAGAUGAGCACAGGCGUAAAUUGCAAUAGCACACCCCUGCAGCUGCCUGUGGAAGCCCUGCAGAGAGGCUGCCCCCAGCUGCAGGUGCUGCGGCUGCUGAAUCUGAUCUGGCUCCCCAAGCCGUGUGGCCGAGGGGUGCCCCAGGGACCAGGCUUCCCCAGUCUGGAGGAGCUCUGCUUGGCGGGCUCCACCUGCAACUUUGUGAGCAAUGAGGUUCUGGGCCGCUUGCUCCAUCGUUCCCCAAAACUGCGCCUACUGGAUCUUCGAGGCUGUGCUAGGAUCACUCCUGCUGGUCUGUGUCAUCUGCCAUGUCAAGAGCUGGAGCAACUCUACCUGGGCCUAUAUGGCCUGUCUGAUGGCUUGACGCUGGCUAAGAAUGGCAGCCCCCUGUUGACCCAGAAGUGGUAUCACACCUUGAGGGAGCUGGACUUGAGUGGCCAAGGCUUCAGCGAGAAAGACUUGGAACAGGCCCUGGCUGUUUUCUCAGGCACCUCUGGGGGCCUGCACCCAGCCUUGUGCUCCCUCAAUCUAAGGGGUACUCGUGUUACACCAAGCACAGUCAGGUCCCCAAGGAGCAGCAGGCCAGUGGCUCCCGUUUAUCCACCUUUGUUAAGUGCCUCCGACUCUGGAACUUCAGACUCUUCUCUACCGAGCGCCACUUAGCCAAUCAGCUCAAGAACAACGCCUUUUACCCCUUCAAGCAGCAGCAGCCGGAUGGUGGUCUUUGUACUCGAGUACUACUUGGACACGCUCUGGAAGGGGACGGUGCUCUUUAUCAUCUGCCUUGUCUUCAUUUCCUGUAAUGUCCUGAGAGAGCCUAUGGAGGUCGCUUCUUCCAGCUGGUCCUUUGUGGCCACAAGCUAGAGCCACUUGUGCUGGUGCAGCUCUCAGAUCGCUAUGAGGUGGGUCCUGCCCCAAACCCCGCCCUCAGUCCCCCAGCCCCCAACAAAAAGAAACUACUGUUUGCAGUUCUUGGACGGGGCUGUUUUGCACUCAGAGGGUAAAUAUAGCACUCCUGAGACCUCCACUAUGUUAAGGGUAGCAGGAGCGCUGGGAAUUUUGGGCAGGGGUGGGGCGGGGAUACUCCCCCGUUAAGGGGGGAAGGGACACCUAAAAAGCAUGCUGGUGGGGAUUCUCUUAUCCGGAGAACGGAGAACUGGCUGCCACUCGCUUAUUCAUAGCAAAUGGAAUUCUUGGGCCGGCACAUUGCCCGGAAACUCAACAUCAACUACUUUGACUAUCUGGCCUCCUCCUAUCGUCAUGUAGUCCGCCACUGGCCACUGGGAGCCUCCUUUAGCCCUGGCAUUGUG